rnacentral:rRNA from 1 species
CCUACGGGGGGCAGCAGUGGGGAUUUUUGGACAAUGGGCGCAAGCCUGAUCCAGCUCUUCCGCGGGUGGGAAGACGGCCUUCGGGUUGUAAACCACUUUUGUAGAGUACGCAAAGUCUAUUGAUAAUACCUAUAGACGAUUACGGUACUCUAAGAAUAAGCAACGGCGAACUACGGGCCAGCAGCCGCGGUAAUACGUAGGGUGCGAGCGUUAUUCGGAAUUACUGGGCGUAAAGGGUGUGCAGGUGGUUUUGCAAGUUGGAUGUGAAAGCCCCGGGAUUAAACUGGGAAAGCCAUACAUGACUGCAAGACUAGAGUGCGUCAGAGGGGGGUGGAAUUCCAAGUGUAGCAGUGAAAUGCGUAGAUAUUUGGAAGAACACCGAUGGCGAAGGCAGCCCCCUGGGACGCAACUGACGCUCAUACACGAAAGCGUGGGGAGCAAACAGGAUUAGAUACCCUAGUAGUC